rnacentral:lncRNA from 1 species
CUCCGCGCCCCGACUCUAAGCCCGGGGCCACCCUCCGGGAGGGAAGGCCGCUGCCUGAUCAUUCGUGGGCCUCAUUAACCAGAAGGUGAUGGACAGCCUGGACACCAGACUGAGAGGGCUGUUUCCAUCACUUCCUCUUCCUCAAGAGUCCAGAAACCCCUCCAGGUCCUUGGACUGCAGCUCCAUAGAUCAGACCCCAGGCCAGUCGGUGGCAUGCUUCCUUCUGCCCGUGUGAAGGACACAGCCUGCGACCCAGUCCACCCCACGAUGUCUUCUCAAUUAGGGCAGGCCGGAAAACAACUGUGAUCAGUAUUUCAGCUCUGUGGACAAUUUCCCUCGUGUGGCCCAAUGAUGGAGGCCAUUCAACCAUUCAGCAGGCCCACCAGCCCUGCGACAAUCAUACUCCAGGCGUGCUCCCUGGCCUGCCCCUUUAGGACUUCUAGGCAUAUAUGUAUAAAAAGUGUUAUGUGAUUCUUAAACAAAAUUUAAGUCAUCCAUAUUUUUCUUCCUGAGGAAUAAUCACUAUUAAAUUCUGAUGUGUGUGGUUUUAGUCUGUUGGCUGUAUACAAGCACAUGCAUACAGACAUUUUUAAACUUCAUGAAAUGUAAGCCCAUAAAGAAUUGUAAGGAUUGUUGCAGCCUAGGGUCCUCAGGACCCUGAAGAAUUCUUGUGACUGGAUAUAAGAGCUAGGGAUUGCUCCCAUUCAUUGGAAUUUAGCUUUUGACUUGAGGAGCUAGGAAGGGUGAAAGACGGCAUCAUUUACGACAUUGCAUUCAGCAGUGUUUUUAGAUCAGAGAAACCAAUUUGAAUGAUUCAUCUUUGUUGAAACUCAGUUUUGGUGUCUGCCUCCCUCCCAACCUCCCCAAAGCAGUUCUUUCAUUCAGAAUAGCAUUUAACAUAAAUCAUAACUCCGGAAAAAAUGAGAGAGUUGCUUCAGUAAACAUAAAAAGUUUAUCUUCUGUUUGAACCUAAUACCCAGAAAGUUGUAAUUCUUUCUAUCAAAAUGAAUUUUUACUAGACAGUUGACUUCAGAUCCUUGCUUUCUUGGUAUUUUCUCAGCUGUAGAUAGGAACAUUACAUGUGGUAAAUAUUGAAUUGUAAUUUAAAGUAUCCAAGGGUGUUUUAAGACUUUUUAAUGUUGUGGAUGUUCUUACUUUUGGAAGAUUCAUGCUGAAUCAUGGCAAACACAGUAAA